rnacentral:rRNA from 1 species
GCGAGGAGGAAAAAAAUAAAACUAAUAAUUUUAUUUUGUGACGUUACUCGCAGAAGAAGCACCGGCUAACUCCGUGCCAGCAGCCGCGGUAAUACGGAGGGUGCAAGCGUUAAUCAGAAUUACUGGGCGUAAAGAGCACGUAGGUGGUAUUUUAAGUCAGAUGUGAAAUCCCUGGGCUCAACCUAGGAACUGCAUUUGAAACUGAAAUGCUAGAGUAUCGUAG